rnacentral:misc_RNA from 1 species
UCCGAGUUGACCCCGGCAGUCUCCUAUGAGUUCCCACCAUCACGUGCUGGCAACAUAGAACGAGGGUUGCGCUCGUUGCGGGACUUAACCCAACAUCUCACGACACGAGCUGACGACAACCAUGCACCACCUGUACACCAACCCCAAAGGGGAAACCACAUUUCUGCAGCGAUCUGGUGUAUGUCAAGCCUUGGUAAGGUUCUUCGCGUUGCAUCGAAUUAAUCCGCAUGCUCCGCCGCUUGUGCGGGCCCCCGUCAAUUCCUUUGAGUUUUAGCCUUGCGGCCGUACUCCCCAGGCGGGGCGCUUAAUGCGUUAGCGUCGGCACGGAGGGGGUUGAUGCCCCCCACACCUAGCACCCAACGUUUACGGCGUGGACUAC